UACGUAGGGACCAAGCGUUGUUCGGAUUUACUGGGCGUAAAGGGCGCGUAGGCGGCAAUUCAAGUCAUCUGUGAAAUCUCCGGGCUUAACUCGGAACGGUCAGAUGAUACUGCUUUGCUAGAGUGCGGAAGGGGCAAUCGGAAUUCUUGGUGUAGCGGUGAAAUGCGUAGAGAUCGGGAGGAACACCAGAGGCGAAGGCGGCGACCUGGACAGGUACUGACGCUAAAGCGCGAAAGCCAGGGGAGCAAACGGG
rnacentral:rRNA from 1 species